GGCAACCGUGGAAGCAGAGGCUGGAUGCCGACUUUCUCAGGCCUCCUGAAGCACAGCCCAGCUGAUGCCCAUCUUGGCUGUAGGCCAAGCAGCUGAUGCAAAUCUUAGCCCGGCUGGUACCUUCCAAGGGGUUGGUUUAUCCCAGGCACCCUCUUGUUCUAAGCCCCACGAUGCCCAUCUUGCUGCUGCUGCUAAAUCACUUCAGUCGUAUCCAACUCUGUGACCCCAUAAACAGCAGCCCACCAGGCUCCCCCAUCCAUGGGAUUUUCCAGGCAAGAGUACCUUCUCCGAUGCCCAUCUUAGCUUGAGGGAAAACGAAAGAGACUCAGAGCCCAGCAGCCACUGAAGCCCUGGUUUCAGGAUCUACCUGAGAGGCCGCCCGGCCCCACUGUCUGCAGGUCAUGGUUCCUACCGCACUGAGAUCUGAGGGGCAAGAGACCCCCUCUGGCUUGUGGACCAACCUCAGUCCUGAAGCAGCGAAUUCCUUCAAGUUGGACACCAACCACUUCAACCAUGAGGGCUGCAGCUGAAGCUUCUCAGGUGUGGCACCAGUAGUCUUUGAAGACUCACUGCUGCUGCUCUGCUGCUGCUGCUGCCCAGAGAAAAUAAACUUGUCUGCAGUCCCCACAGCACCCUGAGUCUUCUUCCAGCUUCCCUGGCUGCGCCUCAUCUACCCUGGGUCCAGUGAACCAUGUGAGCGGCAGGACAGUUACCAUUUCCUUCUCCAAGGGAUCUUCCCCACCCAGGGAUUGAACCUGGGUUUCCUGCAUUGCAGGCAGAUUCUUUACCAACUGAGCCACCAAUACACAUAGCACCUAAUUUACCAUUUUAACCAUUUUUAUGUGUACAGUUCUGUGGCAUCAAGUACAUUUACAUGGUUGUACAACCACCACUUCCAUCCAUCUCUACAAUACUUUUUAUCUUCUCCAACUGAAAUUUUGGGCCCAUUAAGUAAUAACUCUCCAUCUCCCCUUUCUCAGCCCCUGGCAACCACUA
ensembl:lncRNA